AAGGAUCAUUGUCGAAUCCUGCCUAGCAGAAUGACCAGAGAACCAGUAACAAACUCAAUGGGGACGGUGGGCCUCGCUCAACGUCUCCAGACGCUUGGAUGGCACGGGUGCCUACGGGCGCUCGGGCUUUUCUCGGCGGCACAACGAACCCCGGCGCGGAAUGCGCCAAGGAACUUUAACAAGAGAGCGAUGCUCCCGCCGCCCCAGACAUGGUGUGCGCGCGGGAUGCCAUGCAAUCUCCUAUUAUUCAUAACGACUCUCGGCAACGGAUAUCUCGGCUCUCGCAUCGAUGAAGAACGUAGCGAACUGCGAUACUUGGUGUGAAUUGCAGAAUCCCGUGAACCAUCGAGUCUUUGAACGCAAGUUGCGCCCGAAGCUUCGGUUGAGGGCACGUUUGCCUGGGUGUCACACAUGGCGUUGCCCCUAACCCCUCGCCUUGAAUUGGGCGGGCGGGACUUGGGUGCGUAUGUUGGCCUCCCGAGAUGACCUUAUCCCGGUUGGCCCAAAAUCGAGCGUUGGAGCGAUUAGCACCACGACAUUCGGUGGUUGAUGAGACCCCAAUGAUCAAUGUCGUGCGUGUCGCUCAUGCACAUGCUCCACGAAUCUACCUUUCACCAACGCGACCCCAGGUCA
rnacentral:rRNA from 1 species